rnacentral:rRNA from 1 species
CUACGGGUGGCUGCAGUGGGGAAUAUUGGGCAAUGGGCGCAAGCCUGACCCAGCAACGCCGCGUGAGGGAAGAAGGUUUUCGGAUUGUAAACCUCUGUCCUUGGGGACGAAGAAGUGACGGUACCCAAGGAGGAAGCUCCGGCUAACUACGUGCCAGCAGCCGCGGUAAUACGUAGGGAGCAAGCGUUGUCCGGAAUUACUGGGCGUAAAGGGUGCGUAGGCGGCAUAUUAAGUCAGGUGUGAAAUACUCGGGCUCAACCCGGGGGCUGCAUUUGAAACUGAUAUGCUUGAGUGUGAGAGAGGAAAGUGGAAUUCCUAGUGUAGCGGUGGAAUGCGUAGAUAUUAGGAGGAACACCAGUGGCGAAGGCGACUUUCUGGCUCAUAACUGACGCUGAGGCACGAAAGCGUGGGGAGCAAACAGGAUUAGAUACCCGUGUAGUC